ACGUAGGGUGCAAGCGUUAAUCGGAAUUACUGGGCGUAAAGCGUGCGCAGGCGGCUAUGCAUGACAGAUGUGAAAUCCCCGGGCUCAACCUGGGAACUGCAUUUGUGACUGCAUGGCUAGAGUGCGGCAGAGGGGGAUGGAAUUCCGCGUGUAGCAGUGAAAUGCGUAGAUAUGCGGAGGAACACCGAUGGCGAAGGCAAUCCCCUGGGCCUGCACUGACGCUCAUGUACGAAAGCGUGGGGAGCAAACAGGAUUAGAUACCCUGGUAGUCCACGCCCUAAACGAUGUCUAUUAGUUGUCGGAGGGUAACUCCUUCGGUAACGCAGCUAACGCGUGAAGUAGACCGCCUGGGGAGUACGGUCGCAAGAUUA
rnacentral:rRNA from 1 species